GAUGAACGCUGGCGGCGUGCCUAAUACAUGCAAGUCGAGCGAACAGACGAGGAGCUUGCUCCUUCGACGUUAGCGGCGGACGGGUGAGUAACACGUAGGUAACCUACUUAUAAGACUGGGAUAACUUCGGGAAACCGGAGCUAAUACCGGAUAAUAUUUCGAACCGCAUGGUUCGAUAGUGAAAGAUGGCUUUGCUAUCACUUAUAGAUGGUCCUGCGCCGUAUUAGCUAGUUGGUAAGGUAACGGCUUACCAAGGCAACGAUACGUAGCCGACCUGAGAGGGUGAUCGGCCACACUGGAACUGAGACACGGUCCAGACUCCUACGGGAGGCAGCAGUAGGGAAUCUUCCGCAAUGGGCGAAAGCCUGACGGAGCAACGCCGCGUGAGUGAUGAAGGUCUUCGGAUCGUAAAACUCUGUUAUUAGGGAAGAACAAACGUGUAAGUAACUGUGCACGUCUUGACGGUACCUAAUCAGAAAGCCACGGCUAACUACGUG
rnacentral:rRNA from 1 species